rnacentral:miRNA from 1 species
UCGUCUUGUCGCCCUGGAACCUCUC